rnacentral:ncRNA from 1 species
CAUUGGUGAAAAUCCAAUGCCUUGAAAACCCAAGGGUUCCUCCGCAAAGUUCGUCCACGGAGGGUGAGUCAGGUUCUAAGAUCAGGCUGAAAUGCGUAGUCGAUGGUUAUCGGUUCGAGGACGUAAGGUGACCCUGCUUUUUCAGGGUAAGAAGGGGUAGAGAAAAUGCCUUGAGCCAAUGUUCGAGUACCAGGUGCUGCUAAAGUAACCCAUGCCAUACUCGUAAGAAAAGCUCGACCGACCUUCAACAAGAGAAUACAUGUACCUGAAACCGACAUAGGUAGGUAGGUAGAGAAUACCUGA